AUCCCUAAAAUUUGGGAUUUACCCGGAGGGAAAAAAAAAAAUCCCCCAAAUUUGUCCCAAAUUUGAGGGGUGGGGGAGGGGGCGGAGCCCUUCUGGGCAGGGACAGGUGACAACGGCAGGUGCCACCUCAGGUGUGUCACCUGCUCUGGGGGAGGUGACCGAGGUCACGUGAUGCCACCAGGUGCCACCAGCACCUCGGUGCCACCUCCUGUCCUGUGCUGGCGCUGUGUCCAGGUGUGCCCAGGUGUGUCCAGGUGUGCCCAGGUGUGCCCAGGUGCCACCAGGUGUGACCCCGGCCUGGGGGAGGUGACAGAGGCCACCACAGGUGCCACCAGGUGUCACCAACUCAAGGAGAAACAAACAACAUCACCUCCUGUCCUGUGCUGGCGCUGUCCCCAGGUGUGCCCAGGUGCCACCAGGUGUGCCCAGGUGCCACCUCAGAUGUGCCACACCUGGUCCCUGGGCAGGGGAGGUGACAAGUGCCACCACAGGUGCCACCAACACACGGAGAAACAAGUGACACCACCACCUGUCCUGUCCUGGAGGUGUCCACAGGUGUCCCCAGGUGUGCCCAGGUGCCACCAGCUGUGCCCAGGUGUCACCCAGGUGCCACCAGGUGCCACCAACACACAGAGAAACAAGUGACACCACCACCUGUCCUGUCCUGGAGCUGUCCACAGGUGUCCCCAGGUGUGCCCAGGUGCCACC